rnacentral:rRNA from 1 species
UGGGGAAUUUUGGACAAUGGGCGAAAGCCUGAUCCAGCAAUGCCGCGUGCAGGAAGAAGGCCUUCGGGUUGUAAACUGCUUUUGUCAGGGAAGAAAUCCCUUGGGAUAAUGCCCCGGGGGGAUGACGGUACCUGAAGAAUAAGCACCGGCUAACUACGUGCCAGCAGCCGCGGUAAUACGUAGGGUGCGAGCGUUAAUCGGAAUUACUGGGCGUAAAGCGUGCGCAGGCGGCUUUGCAAGACAGAUGUGAAAUCCCCGGGCUCAACCUGGGAACUGCAUUUGUGACUGCAUAGCUAGAGUACGGCAGAGGGGGAUGGAAUUCCGCGUGUAGCAGUGAAAUGCGUAGAUAUGCGGAGGAACACCGAUGGCGAAGGCAAUCCCCUGGGCCCGUACUGACGCUCAUGCACGAAAGCGUGGGGAGCAAACAGG